rnacentral:tRNA from 2 species
UUAAUUGAAGCCAAAAUAGAGGCAUAUUACUGUUAAUAAUACAAUUGAACUAUUAAGUUCCAAUUAAA